rnacentral:sRNA from 1 species
UUUUUUAAAAGUCUAGCUGGCAAGCUCUCAUGUGCUGAUGUGUCAAGUUAUGGGAGAGAGUUGAACUUCCUCCAUAUAUAUAAUUGUCUU